rnacentral:rRNA from 1 species
CCUACGGGGGGCAGCAGUGGGGAAUCUUGGACAAUGGGCGCAAGCCUGAUCCAGCAAUGCCGCGUGGGUGAAGAAGGCCUUCGGGUUGUAAAGCCCUUUUGUGGAGUCUGGAGUACCUGAAGAAUAAGGACCGGCUAACUACGUGCCAGCAGCCGCGGUAAUACGUAGGGUCCAAGCGUUAAUCGGAAUUACUGGGCGUAAAGCGUGCGCAGGUGGCUUGUUAAGAUCGAUGUGAAAUCCCCGGGCUCAACCUGGGAAUGGCAUUGAUGACUGGCUCGCUAGAGUACGGCAGAGGGGGGUGGAAUUCCACGUGUAGCAGUGAAAUGCGUAGAGAUGUGGAGGAACACCGAUGGCGAAGGCAACCCCCUGGGCGAACUGACACUCAUGCACGAAAGCGUGGGGAGCAAACAGGAUUAGAUACCCUUGUAGUC